rnacentral:rRNA from 1 species
AUUGGGCGUAAAGCGUCCGCAGGCGGCCCUUCAAGUCUGCUGUUAAAAAGUGGAGCUUAACUCCAUCAUGGCAGUGGAAACUGUUGGGCUUGAGUGUGGUAGGGGCAGAGGGAAUUCCCGGUGUAGCGGUGAAAUGCGUAGAUAUCGGGAAGAACACCAGUGGCGAAGGCGCUCUGCUGGGCCAUCACUGACGCUCAUGGACGAAAGCCAGGGGAGCGAAAG